UAAAAAGGAAAACAAAAUAAAACAAAGCUUUAAAUAAUGUUCAGAAAAAAAUCUAUAUUUUUGCAAACUGUAAUUAUCUCUUUUAUAGCAUUGGCUGUAAAAUUACAUGAUUUUUGCUGCAUUUAUCUAAGCAAAAAUAGAAUUAUUUCACAGAUAGUUCACAAUUUUGAAAGAAAAAUUAGGUAUAUUAAGGACCUAAAUUAGCAAAGAGUUUUUUGAAUCUCAUAUAAUAAAAGAAAAAAAACUUUUCAAAAAUUUUUUUAACAAAGUAAAACUGUAAAUAAUAUCCAGAACAGAAGUCUUUAUUUUUGCAAAUUGAAAUUCACUCUUUUACAACAUAUGGCUGUAAAACUACAUGGUAAAUUAACAAAAAUAUUAUUAUUUCACAGAUAUUUCACAAUAUUAGAAAGAAAAAUGAAAAGAAAGAAAAAAUAAAACAACAGAAAAACUUAUUCCAAUGCUAAUCGUAAAAAGAAAAAGUAGCAGCCGAACACAAGCGAAACCAAAUCAAGUCUGAUAAACUUGAUGUUCUUAUUUCAUAAAAAUCUGGUUUAGAUGAAUAAACUGAGCUUGAAUUUCUCCUCAAACUGUGUCCGUCAGGAAAGUUAAAUAUCAUCUUCGUGUCUGUCAAACAGAAAACUGUGACCUUUGUGACGAACGCUUUUCAGGAUCUUACUUCCAUCACUGCAGCUUCGGAUGUGGAGAAGAAAAUGAGCUUCAUUACCUCGGAGCUGUCGGUGCACAGAGGUGCAGCAGACAAUCUCCCCUCGCUUCUCUAAAGACUCAUCACUGAGUGCAUCAAAGUCUGUCUGCUCCCACACCUCCUCCACUCUCAGGCUUUAAUAGAUGCUCAGAUUCUGGAAUAAAGCAGAUUUAUGUCAGAUGUAGUUUCUGGAACUCAACAAACACCGAGCCACAGCUGAGGACAGUAAACGGACAGCUAGAAGUUAUUUCUUGUUAAAAGAACCAAAUUUCUGGAACACAGUCUUGUACUUGAGUUUGAAAAAGAUCUUAUCAGAGCACAUCGUUCCCAUUCAUGUGGACCAUCGGUGACUUUCUCCAGCUUCUAGUAGUUUCAGUUGCCGCAGUUUCAUCCAUCAGCGACUUCUUACAGUCGUAUGAACUGAUUGAUUGGACAUAUUGGAGUUUGGCAGCAUGUGGUAAACUUUUCUAAACCUGACCAAGUGGUUUCGGUGAUUAAAACAUAACCAAACAUAAAAUCAAAAGUCAAAAUCAGACUUUUAGAAACUACUGUCUAGUCAAUAGGGAGCUUCUUGGCAAAAAUAACAUUCCAGAAACUACUCAAGUCUUGGCACCAUAGAUCAGUAAAUCAAUCAGUUUCAACUAGAUUCCUCUUCAAACAAAAUUUUGCCAUUUAGGAGAUGAAAUGAAUUGUUUGUGAUUUUGAUGUGGAAGCUUAAAAUCCCUAAAUUUGUCUUUAGUUUCCUGUUUAUGCUGGACAACUCAACAUUGGAUUUUAAUCAUAUCCUGUUCUUUAAAAAUGGUAGCUUGGUCCACUUAGGACCUUUAAAUGCAUCACUGCUGUCGCACCAUUAAAACAUAUCAGGUGUCAUUUCUGUGAUAAAUCCUUAUCUUCUAAGCAUAUUUUACAAAAUUAUUAAAUAAAAAUUGUUAUUUUUUUGUUUCUGUUGUGAUACGUCCCUCUGCUUCCAUUAAAACAUUUAAUAUGACUAUUUUUGCCCCGUAACUCAUGGAUUUGUCUCGUGUCGGUUGUCAUUUUGACAAGCUACACAUAAAAAAAGAUAUAAUGUGUAGAAAAUACAUCUUAACACUAUAAAAUAGCACCAGAAAUAUGUGCAAGUGCCACUAAUUCUGAAAUGGCUCACUCAGCCGUUUGACAUUUUUCUUCAAUGCAAUGCAUUCUGGAUGAUGGUGACCAUUCAAGGUGCAUUGUGGGAUACUUUGAGUCCACGAUAUAGAGAGUAAGAGCAUUAUAAAAUUACAAACACACUAUAUAGUAUAGUUUUUGGCCACAGAUAUAAACUUCAGAACUCAAACUCAAGUCUCCUGGUUGAAAGUUUCCUGAGUUUUGGCUCCACUAUCACAAAACUCCCAAUUUAGGCUUUUAAUUUCUGUAAAUCACGGCUCCAUCACCUAUAAAUAUCCUGUCCCAAUCCAUCUACUUGGAUGGAAAUGAUGUGCGCUGAUAGCGGCUAUUUAUUGGAAUGAUACCAAACCGUUCAGCUGCAGCUGCAGAGAAUCAGUGUUAAAACCUUUAGAUUUAUCAACCACGGGGCAGCAUUUGGACGUCGUUACACCAAAACACUUUCAUUUCAGUGCACUUAUAUCAAAUGUGUCAGAUACUGCUGUUAAACUUGUUUAAUUUGUGUUGUUUUUGUUAAAUUAACAUGAGAAACCAAAUAUUCCAGCUGAAUAUUCUCAUCACACGUCGUCUUCACUCUGUUCAAGAUCAACAGCACCAUUAAAUAGUCACGUCUCCUGUGCUAAACUGCAGGUGUUGUGACACAGAAAUGAGGUUUUUGUGUAUUUAUGUGUAAACAAAAGAGCAGUAAAUUGGAUUCUGGUAUCUGAAUAUCAUCUGGUCGUGAUACUCGGAGUGAUGAAUCAGCUUCGUGACUUGAAGUACACGUGGAAAUACGCCAACAGCUUUUAAAAACAUUUAGCUGCCAAAUGACUUGAUAUUACCUCAAGAAAUGACAUUAGCAAUAUUUCUUAAAGGACAAGGGUGGAGAGCUGAAAAUGCACAGGAGGCAAAUUGUUAUCUUAAUUAGUCUCAGAUAUAUUAUUCUAAUUAAGCAGCAGAGGUUUGCAGUAAUGACAGUUUCUUCUUAUAUCUUUUUGCGUCACCAAAUUACACUCCUUCAAACUCAGCACACACCUGCAGCGGAGAUAAAGGCUUCCUGGUGUGAAGCUGUGCAGCAUACUUCACCAAGCACACCUGGCCACAGGUGUCCUCCCUCCUCACCGACGCUGGAUGACAUUUGCAGCGAUGGAUGCGUUUGGUCUCUCUGUCUUCCCGUGAACAGACCGACUACCCAGAUGGCAGCGGAGUCACUCAGUCACAGCUCUUAUCUUUGAAAACUGCUGGAGUCUGCAGGUUGAAAAUACCUGCCGCUGCCGCCUUUCAUACCCAGAGAAGGCAGGUCUGAGUGUGUUUGAGAAGCGGCUACAGAGACGAGUGUGUCGACUUGUACAGUUGUGAGAAUUAGUAUUGUGUGAGAUCUGCGAUGAGCCGAGUGUGACGAACUCUAAUAGCUCUCCAACACGUCCGUCUGAACACGCUGCUGCUCGUAGCGUGUUGUGUAUGUGUGUUUUUUUUCCCUUUCCGUCCGUUUUAUCUCUGCCUCCGUUAUCACUUCCAAGCUCUUCCUCUCCACCGCCGACGCCGCUGGAGCGAGACAGAUUGAGGAGGAAGUUGGUCGAAAAAUGGCAUCGACGGAAAAGUUCUGCUCCGGGUGGUGAAACUCUGACGCUCAGACCUUCAGCAAACACAGAAUACGACGGUAGAUUAGAGCUGGUCCGUGAAUUGAGGAGGUCACUCAAGCUAACAAGGCUAAUAGAUGAUAGCACGUCUACAUUAAUUAUAGCCGCGUGACCAAAGAAAAAAACAGAUCUACCAUCCCGCAAUAAACCACCACAUUUGUUGAAGCAGCAUAUUACAACUUGUGGUUAGAUUUCACUGUAGUGGACACAGUAGUUAGUAAACAGGGUGUCCCUAAAGUCUGGACAAAAUCUCAUUUAUUAUAAUCUUUUUGCCACCGCAGAUUAAAUAUGGCUUUGCUGAAAGAAGAAGAGUUAAACUGGUACUUGGAGGAUCCAAUCCAAUCCAAUCCAAUCCAAUCCAAUCCAAUCCAAUCCAAUCCAACUUUAUUUAUAAAGCACUUUAAAAACAACACUGUUGACCAAAGUGCUGUACACAGUGAAAGAAUACAAAUAGUGCGAGUACAAAAAUAAGACACAGGUUAUACAGUAAAAGUCAGCUCUAAGCUGAGCCAUACGCCAAGUUGAAAAAAUAUGUUUUUAGAAGCGAUUUAAAAGUAGGGAGUGAAUCAGCCAGUCUGAUAUUUAGUGGGAGCUUGUUCCAAAGUUUAGAAGCAGCCACAGAAAAAGCACGAUCGCCUCUCAGUUUCUUCUUGGCCUUAGGCACCACCAGUAGAGCUUGAUCUGCCAACCUCAGUGAGCGAGAAGGGUUGUAGGUAACAAGCAGUUCAAACCAUGAAGGCAUUUAAAAACAAAAGAAGUUUAAAAUCAAUAUGGAGGUGCACGGGGAGCCAGUGGAGGGAUUGGAGGAUGGGAGUUACAUGAUCACAUUUUUGCGAUCCUGUUAAAAGGCGAGCGGCAGCGUUCUGAACCAGCUGUAGUCUUGACAGUGAGGUUUUGCUGAGUUCUGAGUAAUGAUAAUUGCAAUAAUGUAAGCGAGUGGUGAUAAAAGCGUGGAUCAAAAUUUCAAAGUUGUGAUGAGAUAAAAAAGGCUUCACUUUGGCAAGUUGCCUCAAAUGAUAAAAGCUUGACUUCACAACAGCACUGAUCUGGGCAUCUAAUUUAAGAACUGAGUCCAUCUUUACACCCAGAUUCAACAGGGCUUACAGCUUGGGUUAAAGAGCCGAGCUCAGCUUUGACCACCCGAGUAGAGUCAAUGGGAACAAACAGAAAAACCUCAGUUUUUUGCUCAUUGAAAUGCAAAAAAUUGUAAGCCAUUUACAAUUUUACUUUUUCAAAGCAUUCAAGAAGGGACUUGGACUGUUUUAAAGGCAAAUAAAUUUGGCAGUCAUCUGCGUAAAAAUGAAACAACACAUCAUGUUUAUGCGGAACUGACCCAAGAGGCAAAAAGUACAAUGAAAAAAGUAAGGGCCCAAGAACUGACCCCUGUGGUACGCCACACGUCAGAGGGGCCACAGUGGAAUCAGAAUCCCCAACUUGGAUGGAAAAGCUUCUGUUGGACAAAUACGAUUUCAACCAGGCUAAAGCUAGACCUGUUAUUCCCACCCACUUCUCCAACCGUGACAAUAAAAUCUGGUGGUCCACCGUGUCAAAGGCUGCUGUUAAGUCCAGCAGGAGAAGAGCAACAGUAUGACCUGAAUCAGAAGCCCGAAGAACAUCAUCAAAAACCCUCAACAAAGCCGUCUCAGUACUGUGUCCAGUUUUAAAUCCUGAUUGGAAGACCUCAGAAAUUCCAUUUUCAUUUAAAAAUGAGCUCAGCUGAAUGUGCACAAUUUUUUCCAAAGUUUUGGACACCAAAGGAAGUUUGGAAAUCGGCCGAUAAUUGGAGAGUUCCUGUCGAUCAAGGUUUGAUUUCUUUAACAGAGGCUGGACGACUGCAUGUUUGAAACACAAAGGGACAACACCAUUGGCCAAGCUGCCAUUAACAAUAUCCAGGACAAAAGGUGCCAAUGUCGGAAAGACCUCUUUAAAAAGACGAGGAGGAAUCACAUCAAUGGGGGAGCCUGUAAUUCUCAUUUCACUGAAAACUUGUUCUAAAAGAUGCAGGCUAACAGGUUCAAACUGAUUAAAACAGCAGAAUAAGUUACUGAUGUGGCGGGGUCAUAUGCAAGACAACUUAUAAGGGCUCUAGCGCUCUCCACUUUGUGAAUGAAGAACUGCAAAAAAUCCUCACACACUUUCGAUGGGUCCUCGGGACAGUGGGGUUCUGGAGCACUGAGAACUGUUUCAAUAGUGUCAAAAAGAACACGUGGGUUGUUACCGUUGGAAACAAUGAUGUCAGAAAAGUGUCUGGUUUUUGCAUCUUUAACGUUUUUUUGAUAGGAAUGCCAAAUAUCUCUCAGAUUCUGAAAAGACACAUGUAGCUUAUCCUUCUUCCAUUUUCUGUCUGCCUUUCUGCAUUCACGUCUGGCAGCGUGCGUAACGUCAUUCAACCAGGGUUCAGACUUUGAUUUAGACAGCCUGAAUUUCACAGGAGCAACAAUGUCUAAUGCAGCUCUGCAAGCGGAAUUGAAACCAGCGCAAAGAUCAUCAAUGGAUCUGUUUAAACAGAGAGAGUCAUUUAUGUUCAGAACACAACAAAAGUGCGCAGCGGUGGAAGGGUUAACCAUACAGCCACGACGCACAAGCGCGCACAGUUUGGAUAUGGCACAGGACAGGGGAAUUUCAAAUAAAACAGGUGUAACCCACUCAAAAUAGCCUAAAUCUGGAUGAACUUGUUUUCAGUUUUUAGAUGUAAUAGCCACUUUGAGCCAGCAGAUGGCAGAGGGUAGCGCCGCAGCUAGAGAAAGAGUCAACGACAGCUGUAGGAGAAGCAGAGAAAGAAACGGAGCAAACCAGACCACACGGAGUGUAUUAGCGAGAGAAACGAGUGAACUUAAGGACUCUUCUGAACAAACGGUAUUUUACAAAGAGUUACAAGGAGUAACUGGUCGAAGUUCUGUCAAGGAUUUAGAGGUUUUGUUUUCCUAUUCUCCGGUGAGUAUUGUUAAGAACAUUACAUGCCGUGCUAGCUAAUGUAGCUUAGCUGACGUAGCUACUGUAUUACAAGGAGUAAUAUGGGAUUGGCAUGGAUAAAUGGUAUUUGCUUGCUAUUUUCUGUUGUUGAUGAAUAUAGUUUGAAAGUUGCUGAGAGGACUUAUUAAAAACCAAUCGGAGAAUGACUUGUGUUUUGCAAACUAAAGUACGAAUCAAUGGGAUGAAGAAAAAAUGCUAGUCUUGUUGCUCUGCAUGAUCUACAUGUUUACAGCAAGUUAAAUGGAAUGUAUUGCAACUUUGUACCUACCAUAAAUGUAUUAUUUUAGAACAUUGAACAGUAUAAAUUCCAGAUCUAGUGAUGUAUGAGAUUAUGAGAUUAUAAUUAAUGUUACCCUACUUAUACAGGUUGUUUUUUUUUUUUUUUUAUUUACCCUGAGAAACUGACAGGGAGAAAGGGAGAAAGAAGCUGAGUUUAUUGUGCAACCCGCCGAUGGACAUACAGACGGACAAAGGACGUGCCACAGACAAACAGAGAGUACAUCGCAGGUGUGCUGAGGGUCGCGUCGCCGAUUAGGAGGAUGACUUCAUGUUCUUCAAUUCAUCGUACAGGAACUUGAGUUGGGUUCCCAGGCCCACCAUCCCAUCAUCUACCUGCCUAGGCUUUCGGUCAAGGAUUUGGAUGUCGUCUUAAAUUCACAAAUGUGGUUUCACCUCUGGAUGGUCAACGGCACUGCAGAUGGACUACAGAAAUCCUAAUUAGCUCUGUGUUGUUGAUGCACAAUGAGGGACGUCUGCAGAGACUGAGAAAGAGUCUCACCACAUCCUGACAUGAGGAAAAAGACUUUAUUGAAGACUACAAUGAGAAAAACUAUCAGACAGCAGACGGCUGCAUUCAAGGUGAGCUCUGAACAUUUGAUCUGGAACAGGAAUUCAAUAACGGCAGCAUGAGCUUCAUUUCAGUCUGUAGCUGCUGAAUUCAUGGAUGAAUCAUCUGGCACUAGAGAGGAAGACCAUCAAACAUCCACGUCAGCUGAUGGAGGUCCAAGAGUCUCACCCAACAACCAACCUCCAGAGUAUUGAUGUUAGGAGACGUGCCGAUGCUUCGAAGCAUGUGCCGAGUAAUGGAGGUGGCGUUUCCAUGAAGCGCGUAUCCAGGCUUGCUUCAUUUAGAGGAGGAGCCAAAAUGAUGACGUCCGAAGCCUCGCUGCCUGCCUGAACCACGUGACUGCUUCGGAAAGUGGUUCAGAUUUUGCCGUGAGGUUUGACAGCAACAUAAACCCCUCAGGCUCCGUUCAGAAUGUGGGUUUUUGAUAGAGUUGCGGUCAGUUGAGAGUUUGAAUAGCUUGAAUACUAGAGUUUGGAGAGUAGAGAGUAGUUUUAGAGAGUAGAAAGAUAGUUUGUAGAUUUAGGAGAAUGAGGAGAGAAGGAUGGGUUUUAGGAAGGGGUCAGCUAGGAAGAGGAGGAUUUCCCCUAUGUGGGAACAUUUUGAUUUGAUAAUUCCUAAUCAGGUAAGCUGAAUCUAACAUUACAGAUGCAUUAGCUUUGGUUAUCAAGAACUGUAUUUUUCACUGUUAUUUUAUUCAAAGGUGAGGUGUUUAUUGUGUGUGUCAAAAAAGGAAUCGUUUAAAACCAAAUACUGUUGAGAAACUUAUUUUUGAAUGAAAGGAAUAAAAUGUCCCCCUUCCUGUGCAUCGUUGUCCAAGUUACACAGCAUAUUCAGUACGAUCUACCUAGUUCCACACUUUCACUGUCCUCUGCCUGCUUAAGGCCAUGGCAUUUUCUUAAAGUGACAGAAAAACAUUACACAACCUGCCACAUUAUAUGAUACUACCAUUUUGGGGAAAAUUUACGCACACACACAAUACAUGAAAAUAGAUUUUAUUCUACACGUGAGAAUUUAUCUACAGAAAUUAUUUGGUCAUACAUUUUCUUGUAUUUCAUAGUCAUUCCCAACAGCCAUAACCGAUAAAAAUUCAGUGCAUCAGACAUUAUGUGGUUCAGAUACAGCUGCCUGUGAUUAUACACCUGGCCAGCAGGUGGCUUUGUGUGCUCAUUAAGCUUCAAGAAAUGAACCGUUUCUCGAACCAAUUGGCUCAAGUGGUUCAAUGCCUCAUGAGGCUUCAUCUCACCAUCACUACUACAGAGUGAAGACCUCCAAUCUGAUUGGACGGCCUCCUAUUCAGCCACAUGUGUGAACAAAUGCCUCUAAGCUGAUUUGUUUUCUAAAAUAAAUCUAGUUUGUGUCCCAAUCAAUGCUUGUGUGUUUGCUUCUUUACACCGCUGUUAACAGUUUAGGCUGUUAGAUUGUUCCAGAUAAGACAAGUACAAGAUUCUUCAGAGCCGUUCUACCACGAGCCUGACAGGAAGAACUCCAACAGCUACUGAAUGUUCCUGUGGUCCCCUCAAGGCUACAGGAGGAGUCCUACGAGGACGAGCCGGUCCACUUGAUGGCGGCCAGUCGCUGUGGUUCAAAGCCAACACCGACUACAUGGACUUCUACUGGACCACAUGGAGGCCUUCAAACCGGACCAACAAGUUCAGCGACUCCCCUACUCGUGGGUCUGAGGAUGCCGCCGAGCCUCGGUCCAGCCGGCCUCCUGUCUGUGGAUGUUUGAGUGCUGAGAGGUUUGUGGAUGCAUGUGAACGUUCUGUGUUGAAACAGCAGCUUUGGACUCAGUAACACCGGGAAAAACCAAGAGCUCCUUUAUUUGUGACUUCCACUAAAAAAAACUGAUGAAAAUAAGUUUGCCAGGGUUCUGACUGAUAACAGAUUAUUAAAUAAUGAAAGUAAUCGUUUAAAUAUUCCUUUAAACAAUACUUUUAGGUCUACAUUUCCUUUACACUGACUUCUUGGUAUUUUGGGUGGAAUAUACCAUUAAGCUCAAUGUUCAAGGGUUCUUCUGGGAAUAUACCAUUAAACCAACCUUUCAGGUAAAUGUUCCAGGAUGUUGGGUAGAAUAUACCAUCAGAUCAACCUUUUAGGUCUACAUUGGAAGAUUUUAGAGUAGAAUAUUACUCCAAACCAUCCUUUAGGUCUACAUUUAAGAUGGAAUACUCCUUUACACCAAGAUUUUUUGGUCUACAUUGAAGGAUUUUAGGUGGAAUAUUCCUUUGAACGAACUUUUUAAGUUUAUGUUCAAGGAUGUUGGGUGGAAUAUACCAUCAGACCAACCUCCAAGGUCUACAGUAGUGAAUUUUAGGUGGAAUAUACCAUUAAACUCACCUUUAAGUCCACAUUGGAGGAUUUUAGGUGGAAUUUUCUUCCAAACCGUCUCUUAGUCUACAUUUAAGGAUGUUUAGGAUGGUAUAUUCUUCC